CGUUAACUCUAUUCGGGAAGAAAAUUUGAAAGGAUUUCGAGGAAUUACUGCAGAACAAAUUAAUCAAUAUGAAAGUCUAAAACGUGAGAAAGAUAAUAAUAUUAAUACUUAUGAUGAUUUACAAUUAAAAAAAGACAAUUUACACGUCAAGGAAUUAAAAUCAAAUAAAAAAUAUUGGUUGUGCUGUGUACUUGGAUUGUUUGUUGGAUGCUGUGUUGCAAGUUCUGUGUUUUUGGCUGUUAUAUUGACUAGAAAUAAUAAUGAAUGUAUGGCAUUAAGUGAAAGGUGUCCUGUUUCCAAUGGUUACAUUUAUUAUGCUGAUUUAUGUUUUUGCUUUAAGUACAUUAAUACAGCGUCACAGUAUGAUAAUGCCACGAUGCAAUGUUUGCUCGAUGGAGCUGAGCUAGCAAGAAUAGACACAGAAGUUUUACAAAAAAGAAUGGAAACAUAUCUAGACACAGUUGAUAACGGUGAAGUCUGGAUACAAGGUUUUUUAGACAACGCAAGUGGAACAGCUGUUUGGAGAUAUAAUGAUGGAACAGAAAUGACGUAUUUUAAUUGGAACACAGCAGGAGGUCAGCCACAGCUAACGCCUGGUGAAAUAUAUGUGUUAAUCAGGAAAUCACAAGGAUAUAGGUGGCACGAUGGCCAUGCAUUUGCCCAACUAAGAUCAUUGUGUCAAAUUGUAUAACCUUUUACUUACCGUAAAUUACUGAGAAGGCAAUAGUGUUUUAUCUUGUAUUUAAAUUUUUGAAAUAACAAAGACUGAAAUAAAAAUGUAAAAUUACUGAAAAUAUAUGUUUUUUUAAGUAAAUUCCCUUUAUUUAAUUUUUAAAACUUGUGAAUGUAUUCGAAAUAUAUAUAAACUGUUAACCAAAUGAAUACAUAUCAGACUAUGAUAAACUGUACAUAAACGCUUCUCGAAUUUUUAUUGAUAGAAAACACACCAAUAGGACCGACGACAAUUACAAAUAUUCACUUUUUCUAUAGUAAACUUUUUAAUAGGAGAAUACCAUUGAAAUGUUGUAUGUACUUCAUAAGUGAUAAUAUACACCUGUAAAGGCAUGUUGGAAAUUGGAUUUUAUAUUCUUUACAACCGAUUUGAAAGUAAAUGCGAUUGGUCCUGAUAGUUCCUACAAAGGAUAUUCACUCCACCGACAUUUGUGGUUACCUUCGACCAUUAAUUCGAUGAAAUGAUAUUAUAAAUUAUGUUUACUUGAUUACGAUUACUAUCAUAUAUGUUCAUGUGUAUACUUCGGUUUUUUGUUGCAGUCUCAGUGACGUAUACCUGUGCAUAUACUUUAUGUUUUUAGGUUAGUAGAUGCUUAGUGCCACGUUGUCCCCUUUAUGAGACAAUACAUUAUUCAAAACAUUGGUGUAGAGGUAUAAUACCUGAUUUUGAUUUUGUUUUAUGAGAAGAGGUGUCAGAUUUAUAUCAAGGCAAUAUCAAACGCACAAAACAAUGGAUAGAAACUAGACAUUUAUAAUAAAGGGUCUUCAACGAUAGACAAUUUUCAUACAAUAUGUCAAUCUACAUGUACAAGUCGUUCCGAGUCUUGACAAGAUGUGAAUAUAUUUAACAUUGUCUCUCAAUUAUCUUAAAAUGCAUCAAAAACCACUGACUGAAAUAUGGUAAUGUUUUUGAGUUGCGACUGGCAUUUUAUAAAGUGUUAUUUUGUUACAUAACGGAACUAUAAACAACUGUCAUACAAUUUGGAGGCUUAGAUAGCUAUAAAACCAUUCGUUCAGUUGGUUGAUAUAGUCUUACCUUUUACUUUGUCAGUUUUUAAGAACUUCUCACUUUUUGAAUUUACCUUGGAGUUUGGUAUUUUUGUUAAUACAUUUUUUUUAUAUUAUACAUGAGAUGGUCAGAAUAUCUUUAUUUGAACCUGGCCAUUUUCCUUAUUUCAUCUUGAUAAGUGGAAUAUCAAAAGGUAAAAAAAAACAAUACAAAUCAAUUUAAUUAGUUUUAUUGAUAAAAAUAAACAUGCGCACAGCUACAAGUGAAACAUUACUAAUAAAUACCUUUUCAUAGACUCUUACAUUUGUGUGUACCUGUUUUUGACGGCAAACUUAAUUUAUAUGGCAAUAUAGCCUACCUGUCAUGUUAGUAUGACCACUAUACUUUCAUCAAUGUAUUCAUUAUACUUGUCAAAGAUAUUUGAGUUUAACUGUUUAUAAUUAUAUUUGUAUAAUAAUAUAUGCACAGAUGAAGCGAUUUAUAGCAUAAAAUCCAGCUUGAGGUGCUAGCGGACGUCUUAAACUACGAGUGAAUUGUUAGAUUUUGUUCAUUGUUGAGGAACUCACUUUGACGUUGAAUAAUAGUCUGAAUGCUUUUGCAAAUGCAUUUAUUUUUUUAUGUAUUUUCCACUACAUUUUUACAUUUUUACCUUUUUACCUUACGACGACCAAAGUGGCGUAAUUUGACGCCCUUCAAAAAGAAGUUUGCAAAUACAUUUCCUUUGUUAAAUACACAAGAAUGUUUGAUCUGUUUAUGAAAAAUAUUUACAGUUUUACACUACUUUUUAGUGUUUGAUACAUAUGUAUUUAUUUAAAAAGGCAAUAUGUUGGCCAUAGUUAGACUAGCGGUAAAGAAAGGAUAUAUAUGGUGUAUAGACCUAUGAUAUAAAAUCCUUCUCCUACUUGACAAAUAACAAAGUAAAUUUAAAUAUAUUUAAAAGGAACAACACUUAUAAUAUUUCAAUUUUGAUAUGAUAAUUUUUUUGAGGGUUAUUGGACUUUUUUAAAAACAAAUUAUAUUAAUACAUUUUAACACAAUUCAGUUUUAUGGACGGAACUCCCCUGGAACCGUUUGCCAGAAAGAUUUCAUAUUUGUCAUCAUGUUUAGUUGACCAUACUAUACCGUCGUGUCGUUUGUAUUUGACAAUUCUUGUAGGGAUAAUAGGACUUUGAUUGAAAUUUUUUCAAUAUCGUAAUACAUUGGCACCUUGAAAACAGAGUUCCACUAGACCUUGAGCCCGAAUGGCUUUAUUCUUAGAAAUAUUUUUCAUUUUGCCGUGUUCAGCUCAAAGUCACAGAGAGGCUUUCAACAAGACGAAAAGCGCACACAUAAAGGACAAAGUCUGAGAGAAAUCCCUUAUCUUGAAGUAUCGGUUUUAGGUACUGACGUUGUUUAUCAUUUUAAUUACGUGUUAUAGUGUUCUUUUUAUUUGUCUUUGUAUAAUUAUUUACUAUUGAGUCCAUUUAUUGGUAAUAUCCUUUUGGCGUGGAUCGGUAUUUAUACAUCCCGCCAUUGUGUUAUUGUGCUAUGGUCAUUUUUGUAUUCCUGUCUUUUAUUUUUGCUUAUGUGCUUUGUCUAUAUAGUGUCUACUGUACCAUGCCAUUUUGUUUUUC